GGAAUGGAGAGUCAAAGCUAUGGGGAAAUGGGGGGCCAAAGCCAGGGGGAAACAGGGAACUGGGGCCAUAGAGGGCCACAGGUCCAGGGCCAUAGGGAACCAAGGAUCUGAUGCCAUAGGGAAGCAGGAAUCCAAGGCCAUAGGGAUCCAUAGGGAGCCAUGGGGAGCCAUGGGGAGCCAGGGAUCCAAGGCCAUAGGGAGCCAUAGGGAGCCACAGGGAGCCAUAGGGAGCCAUAAGGGAGCCAUAAGGGAGCCAUAAGGGAGCCAUAAGGGAGCCAUAAGGGAGCCAUAGGGAUCUGAUGCCGGAGCCAUAGGGAUCUGAUGCCGUGGGGAAGCAGGGAUCUGAUGCCAUAGGGAAGCAGGG
ensembl:lncRNA